UCCAGACUCCUACGGGAGGCAGCAGUGGGGAAUAUUGCACAAUGGGGGAAACCCUGAUGCAGCGACGCCGCGUGAGUGAAGAAGUAUUUCGGUAUGUAAAGCUCUCUCAGCAGGAAAGAAAAUGACGGUACCUGACUAAGAAGCCCCGGCUAACUACGUGCCAGCAGCCGCGGUAAUACGUAGGGGGCAAGCGUUAUCCGGAUUUACUGGGUGUAAAGGGAGCGUAGACGGUGAAGCAAGUCUGAAGUGAAAGGCGGGGGCUCAACCCCCGGACUGCUUUGGAAACUGUUUGACUGGAGUGCAGGAGAGGUAAGUGGAAUUCCUAGUGUAGCGGUGAAAUGCGUAGAUAUUAGGAGGAACACCAGUGGCGAAGGCGGCUUACUGGACUGUAACUGACGUUGAGGCCCGAAAGCGUGGGGAGCAAACAGGAUUAGAUACCCUGGUACU
rnacentral:rRNA from 1 species